rnacentral:rRNA from 1 species
UACAGAGGGUGCGAGCGUUUGUCCGGAAUCACUGGGCGUAAAGGGCGCGUAGGUGGCGCGACAAGUCAGUGGUGAAAGUUCGACGCUCAACGUCGAAUCGGCCACUGAUACUGUUGGGCUUGAGCACUGUAGAGGCUAAUGGAAUUCCGGGUGUAGCGGUGGAAUGCGUAGAGAUCCGGAAGAACACCGGUGGCGAAGGCGGUUAGCUGGCCCGGAACUGACGCUGAGACGCGAAAGCGUGGGGAGCAAACAGG